CAGAAAAUAGUUUAAAAAAAAUAUUGGCUUUGGGGGCUAAAGUUAAAUAAUUAUUUUUUUCUGA
rnacentral:tRNA from 1 species